UACGUAGGAUCCGAGCGUUGUCCGGAAUUAUUGGGCGUAAAGAGCUCGUAGGCGGUGUGUCACGUCGGCCGUGAAAACCUGCAGCUUAACUGUGGGCGUGCGGUCGAUACGGGCAUCACUGGAGUUCGGCAGGGGGAGACUGGAAUUCCUGGUGUAGCGGUGAAAUGCGCAGAUAUCAGGAGGAACACCGGUGGCGAAGGCGGGUCUCUGGGCCGAUACUGACGCUGAGGAGCGAAAGCGUGGGGAGCAAACAGG
rnacentral:rRNA from 1 species